GGAUAUCUUUUCCUUUCUAUAUUUAUCCUCAUUUCUUUUCACUACCUUAUUUUGAUGACCAGGAAGAAUUCUGAAAAAUAUAUCAAAAAUAGAAGUGGUAACGGAGCACAUUUUUAGUUUUUGUUUUAUUUUGGUUUUCACAUUUCUAAGGAGAGUGACUGUCAUGUUUCUUCACUGUGAAUACUGUUAACUUCUGAGUUCAGAGUAAGCCUCUUUAUCAUGCUUAAAAUUCCUUUAUUUCUCUUUCAAGGGUUAAAAACAGUGAAAAAUGAAAGCAAUAGUCUCUAUUCUCCCCAUAAAUGUCUACCCCAUACCCAGUCUUCUUUGUGAAUAUGUAGUAUUUUUGUACUUUGGUUAUCUGUAGAUUGCCCUUUCAUUAUGCAGUAACAGGAACUUCUUUCUUUUCAGUAACAAGUUAUAGCUCUAGUAAUUUAUGUCAGCGGAUGAGCACCAUCAUUUAUUGUCAUGUUUGUGUGGUUUUUUUUUUUCCUUGUGAUUUGGUGAGAAGAUCUGACCUUACAAAGAAUAAUAUUUAAUUUUACAUGAUCAUUUAGCCAGAGUUACUAUUUUCUUUUCCUUUACUUCCUCCUUCCUUUCUUUCUUCUUUCCUUGCCUUUCCUUCCUUCCUUCCUUCCUUCCUUCCUUCCUUCCUCUUUCUUUCUUUCUUUCUUUCUUUUUCCUUCCUUCCUUCCUUCCUUCCUUCCUUCCUUCCUUCCUAUAAGGCAAUGAGUGAAAUCUAUUUUCUUCCGAAACAUCAGAAAGUAAUAUAAAGGCCAAAGCCUUUCUAACAUCUUAAACAUUUCUGUCUCCUUAAAAAUUGCUAAGUUGGAAGACCUCAGUAUAAAAGUAAUACUUUUCAGAAGAGUGGAUAAAAUGGAUGAAAUGGAAGAGGAUGAAAUAGAGGAGUUUUCAAAAUACCCUUUACAAGCCUCCAUUUUGAUUGCAUUUCACAAUAUCUAAGACACCAUGCCUGAGAAUGUGCUCUCCUUGCUUGUGGAGUUGAUUAGUGGCCGGUCAGAAGCCAAUGGUGACUUCAGGGUGGAAAUAAUGCCCAAUAUUAAAGUUGCUGUCAUGACUUUUCUCAAAAAUGCUGAUGACAAGGCAUUUGUUAAUGUUUGUGUCAGACACUAUAGAAUUCAGCAAUUUCAGAUUUUCCCAAGACUUCUGGAACUGACAAGAACCAUUAGGGUUGAAAAUCUGCCACCUCAUGUUGAUAAAAUUACAUAACAAUUUUCUUGGAAAACCCCACAAAUGGAGAAGGAGUAACCAAUGCACAGCUUUUCCCAGAGAAGAGUUCAGCCCUGGUUGAGUUUUCUGACUACCAAGUGGUGGACACCUACUUGGCCAAAAAGCUUGUCUUCAAUGAAAGGCCCAUUACUGUGUUUCCAUAUUAUGUGACUUUGGGCGUAGCCUUAUAUGGAAAGGAGAAGCCCCUGAGAAAGUUGCUAGCACCAUUUUGGGUGGCUCUGCAUCCUCUCAUAUGGAAGAUCAUGCAGAAGAAGCAUUGCCUGAUUGGAAUGAUAAAUUAUAAAAGGGGAAGGUGACACUCUGAGGUAACAUGGCACCAAGUCAACUGUAAGAGGCUAGAGGUAACAUUCAGGUCUGCGACCACUGAACUCACUCAAAGAAGAACAAAGAUCAAUGUCAUCAAGACUUGGAAAGAGGACAUUUCUAAAAACUUCUGCCAUGUCAUCUUUAAAUAUAAAGUCACCGAGUUGAAUAUGAAACCAGCAGUAUGGGAAGACAUAAAAAACAGCAUAGAGGAUGAUAGGACUUCGAUUGAGUCUGAUAUAGUCAAGGAGGUGGUCAUAAUAACAGGUUGUUUGGAGGAUGUGAAAAGAAUUUAACACAAGACACCAAUCAUAACAUUGAAAAGGAAAAAAACAAAAUUUGAUAGAGAAUGUGGCUGGUUCUUCUGAAAGGUUUUCUAGUCUUCAUAUCAGUGCUUUGAAAGAGUCUAUACCCGAGGAAUUCUCAGGGUGGGAGAUCGAGGUCAUUUUUUUGUUUGUUUGUUUCAAGUUUUUAUUUAAAUUCUAGUUAGUUAACAGAAUGUAAUGUUGGUUUCAGGAGUAGAAUUAGGCAAUUCAUCACUUACAUAUAACAUCUAUUGCUAAUCACAACAAGGGCCCUUCUUAAUACCCAUUUAUCCCACUGCUCACCAGGGUGGGAGGUCAUUGAUAAUGCUUGCAGCAAACAUACCACAGUACAUGCAGGAGAGUAUAAAAAAUGAAAUUCUUGAGCAAGUGAAGGGGACUGUUCAAGCCCAUUUCCAGUCCUUCUGGAGUUUCCUAUUUGUUAUAGAAAGUAGAGUGUGGAAAAUUCUCUAAGAUUAUUUUAAGCAAAGAAAAGUCACAUCCUUUCUGAGUUAGAUCAGACAUGGAAAAUACAUUUCAUUUCAUGGGUUACCUCUGAUCAAACGACAGUUGUUGCCUGGAGCUCUGCGUUGAGCAGGAUUCUGAAACUAUCUGCAUUGAUUGAGAAAGAGUGUUGAUACCAAUUAAUGUCUGUGACAGAUGUGGAUGACAAGGUUUAUGGGAUGGGGUGGUGAUGUAUCCCAUGUUUUUACCAUUGGUAAGUGUGACAAUACUGUCAGGCAGAUCAGCUCCUCUUGCAGAUUCUGUGAAGAGCAGAUUCAAGGAUUGUGUCCUUUAUCAGCUAAUAAUUUGACUUUAAGUAGGUGGUUUCAUCUCUUUGUACACUGGUCUCCCCCUCCCAGCCCAUGAAGUUUCUGUACUGGAUGAUCUGUGAUGACCCUUUAAAUUCUAAAAUUCUAUGACUGAUGAAUAGUCAAGUUAUAAAUGCGUUGUUGUGGAGAACUAAGGGGUGUGUCUUAGUUUGGGUUCCCUCAGAAGAGAACCUGAGACAGGAUUCAAGUGCAAAUGAUCUAAAUAGGGAAGUAAAAGAUACUGAUGGUGUGUUUUCAAAUCCAUUACCACUAGUCCCACUGGGGAAACUCAGAGUGAGGCCUACCUGGAAGGCAAGGUUGCUGGGGUGGUUUUACAGGAACUCCUAUCAAUCAUUGGAUGAGGACUUGAGAGGGGGUGGUGGGAGGGCUGGUUAAUUUACCUGCAAUUCCUCUCUGCUACACCUGCAAGCAAAGCAGGCUUUGGCACUACAGAAACUCCUCUGACAAGGAAUACAGCUGGAGGGGUGGCUGGGUGGCUCAGUCUGACUUCGGCUCAGGUCGUGAUCUCACAGUUUCGUGAGUUCUAGCCCUGUGUCAGGCUCUGU